GGAAAUGUGCCCGAGACCAGGGACUACAUUGAUAGCGUAGCUACAGGAUUACACCCCUCAUUUCCU
rnacentral:tRNA from 1 species